rnacentral:rRNA from 1 species
UCCGUAGGCGGGCAGCUAAGUCAGUGGUGAAAUCCUGCGGCUCAACCGUAGAACUGCCAUUGAUACUGCUAUUCUUGAAUGUAGUUGAGGUAGGCGGAAUGUGUAAUGUAGCGGUGAAAUGCUUAGAUAUUACACAGAACACCGAUUGCGAAGGCAGCUUACUAAACUAUGAUUGACGCUGAUGCACGAAAGCGUGGGGAGCGAACAGGAUUAGAUACCCUGGUAGUCC